GAUCAAAUCAAGCGCGAUAAGGGCGUUUGGUGGAUGCCUUGGCAGUAAGAGGCGAUGAAGGACGUGAUACUCUGCGAUAAGCCAUGGGGAGCUGAGAAUAAGCUUUGAUCCAUGGAUUUCCGAAUGGGGAAACCCACCUGAUACUUUGUUGUUGUUGUCCUUCGGGGCAAUCAACAAUGGGGUUAACCAGGUAUCUUUUACCUGAAUACAUAGGGUUUAAGAAGCGAACCCGGGGAACUGAAACAUCUAAGUACCCGGAGGAAAGGACAUCAAUAGAGACUCCGCUAGUAGUGGCGAGCGAACGCGGAUCAGCCGAGCCUUGAGAGUGACCAGAACAUGUUGGAAAGCAUGGCCAUAGCGGGUGACAGCCCCGUAUGGGAAGCUCGAUGGGACGUAUCAAGUAGGGCGGGACACGUGAAAUCCUGUCUGAAGAUCGGGGGACCACCCUCGAAGGCUAAGUACUCCUUACUGACCGAUAGCGAACCAGUACCGUGAGGGAAAGGUGAAAAGCACCCCGACGAGGGGAGUGAAACAGUUUCUGAAACCGGACGCCUACAAGCAGUCGGAGCCCCCUUGAGGGGUGACGGCGUACCUUUUGUAUAAUGGGUCAACGACUUGGUCUGUCUAGCAAGCUUAAGCCGGUAGGUGUAGGCGCAGCGAAAGCGAGUCUUAAAUGGGCGACUUAGUUAGACGGAUCAGACCCGAAACCAAGUGAUCUAGGCAUGAGCAGGAUGAAGGUACGGUAACACGUACUGGAGGUCCGAACCCACACCUGUUGAAAAAGGUCGGGAUGACUUGUGCCUAGGGGUGAAAGGCCAAUCAAACUUGGAGAUAGCUGGUUCUCCGCGAAAGCUAUUUAGGUAGCGCCUCGGACGUAUUCCUUGGGGGGUAGAGCACUGCAUGGAUGAUGGGGGCCCACAGCCUUACUGAGUCUAAGCAAACUCCGAAUACCCAAGAGAACUAUCCGGGAGACACACGGCGGGUGCUAACGUCCGUCGUGGAGAGGGAAACAACCCUGACCAACAGCUAAGGCCCCCAAUUCGUGGCUAAGUGGGAAAGCAUGUGAGACUUCCAAAACAACCAGGAGGUUGGCUUAGAAGCAGCCAUCCUUUAAAGAUAGCGUAACAGCUCACUGGUCUAAUCAAGAGGUCUUGCGGCGAAGAUGUAACGGGGCUCAAGCCACGAGCCGAAGCUUUGGAUGCAUCCUUAUGGAUGCGUGGUAGCGGAGCGUUCUGUGAUAUAGAACGCUGCCUCUUUUGUGUUCGACGUCCAUAGUCACCCGCAAGGAUGACGGACAAACAAUGCAACGGAGGCAAUGUUCUGACUGUGAAGCCGGGCCGUGAGGCAACCGGUGGAGUGAUCAGAAGUGAGAAUGUUGACAUGAGUAGCGACAAACAGGGUGAGAGACCCUGUCGCCGAAAGUCCAAGGGUUCCUGCUUAAAGCUAAUCUGAGCAGGGUAAGCCGGCCCCUAAGGCGAGGCCGAAAGGCGUAGUCGAUGGGAACCAGGUUAAUAUUCCUGGGCCAGGAGAUGGUGACGGAUCCCGAGGGUAGUUCGAUCUUAACGGAUUGAUCGGGCUGCUUAGGGGUUCCUGGAAAUAGCCCUCCACAAGACCGUACCCUAAACCGACACAGGUGGACUGGUAGAGAAUACCAAGGCGCUUGAGAGAACCACAUUUAAGGAACUCGGCAAAAUACCUCCGUAAGUUCGCGAGAAGGAGGCCCGGUUUUUACGCAAGUGAAGGCCGGGGGCACAAACCAGGGGGUGGCGACUGUUUACUAAAAACACAGGGCUCUGCGAAGCCGUAAGGCGACGUAUAGGGUCUGACGCCUGCCCGGUGCCGGAAGGUUAAAAGGAGAUGUGCAAGCAUUGAAUUGAAGCCCCGGUAAACGGCGGCCGUAACUAUAACGGUCCUAAGGUAGCGAAAUUCCUUGUCGGGUAAGUUCCGACCUGCACGAAUGGCGUAACGACUUCCCCGCUGUCUCAAAUGUGGACUCAGCGAAAUUGAAUUGUCUGUGAAGAUGCAGACUUCCCGCGGUUAGACGGAAAGACCCCAUGCACCUUUACUACAACUUCGCACUGGCAUCAGGAUUGCGAUGUGCAGGAUAGGCGGUAGGCUUUGAAGCGGGGACGCUAGUCCUCGUGGAGCCAUCCUUGAGAUACCGCCCUUCGCACUCUUGAUGUCUAACCGCGGCCCGUUAUCCGGGUCCGGGACCCUGCGUGGUGGGUAGUUUGACUGGGGCGGUCGCCUCCCAAACAGUAACGGAGGCGCGCGAAGGUUGGCUCAGACCGGUCGGAAAUCGGUCGUUGAGUGCAAUGGCAGAAGCCAGCCUGACUGCAAGACUGACAAGUCGAGCAGAGACGAAAGUCGGCCAUAGUGAUCCGGUGGUCCCGAGUGGAAGGGCCAUCGCUCAACGGAUAAAAGGUACGCUGGGGAUAACAGGCUGAUGAUGCCCAAGAGUCCAUAUCGACGGCAUCGUUUGGCACCUCGAUGUCGGCUCAUCUCAUCCUGGGGCUGGAGCAGGUCCCAAGGGUAUGGCUGUUCGCCAUUUAAAGAGGUACGUGAGCUGGGUUUAGAACGUCGUGAGACAGUUCGGUCCCUAUCUGCCGUGGGUGUUGGAGACUUGAGAGGAGCUGCCCCUAGUACGAGAGGACCGGGGUGGACGGACCACUGGUGGACCUGUUGUCGUGCCAACGGCAGUGCAGGGUAGCUAUGUCCGGACAGGAUAAACGCUGAAGGCAUCUAAGCGUGAAGCCCCCCUCAAAACAAGGUCUCCCUUGAGAGCCGUGGAAGACCACCACGUCGAUAGGCCGGAGAUGUAAGUGCAGCAAUGCAUUCAGUUGACCGGUACUAAUGGCUCGAUAGGCUUGAUUUGAUCCGG
rnacentral:rRNA from 1 species